rnacentral:rRNA from 1 species
AGAGUUUGAUUAUGGCUCAGAUUGAACGCUGGCGGCAUGCCUUACACAUGCAAGUCGAACGGCAGCAUGGGUGCUUGCACCUGAUGGCGAGUGGCGAACGGGUGAGUAAUGCAUCGGAACGUACCCGGAAGUGGGGGAUAACGUAGCGAAAGUUACGCUAAUACCGCAUAUUCUGUGAGCAGGAAAGCAGGGGAUCGCAAGACCUUGCGCUUUCGGAGCGGCCGAUGUCGGAUUAGCUAGUUGGUGGGGUAAAGGCCUACCAAGGCGACGAUCCGUANCGGGUCUGAGAGGAUGAUCCGCCACACUGGGACUGAGACACGGCCCAGACUCCUACGGGAGGCAKCAGUGGGGAAUUUUGGACAAUGGGCGCAAGCCUGAUCCAGCCAYGCCGCGUGAGUGAAAAAGGCC